CCUACGGGAGGCAGCAGUGGGGGAUAUUGCACAAUGGGGGGAACCCUGAUGCAGCGACGCCGCGUGGGUGAAGAAGCGCCUCGGCGCGUAAAGCCCUGUCAGCAGGGAAGAAAAUGACGGUACCUGAAGAAGAAGCCCCGUCUAACUACGUGCCAGCAGCCGCGGUAAUACGUAGGGGGCAAGCGUUAUCCGGAUUUACUGGGUGUAAAGGGGGCGCAGACGGCGAUGCAAGCCAGGAGUGAAAGCCCGGGGACCAACCCCGGGACUGCUCUUGCAACUGGGUGGCUGGAGUGCAGGAUGGGGAGGCGGAAUUCCUGGUGUAGCGGUGAAAUGCGUAGAUAUCAGGAGGAACACCGGUGGCGAAGGCAGCCUGCUGGACUGCAACUGACGUUGAGGCCCGAAAGCGUGGGGAGCAAACAGGAUUAGAUACCCUGGUAGUC
rnacentral:rRNA from 1 species